GGAGUGUAGUGAAAGUGAAGCAUGUAAAAUCUUCUGUUGUAAAGUAUUUCCCUAUUGUACAGCAUAUCUUGACUAUAUCGUGUAGAUGAACUAUGAUUAUGCUAAGCAUGGAUGUGAACUGAAUUGCAUAUUCAAGAUAGUAGAAUACCUUGAAUGUUUUCGAGCUGAUGGGUGGCUGUUGAAGUUCGAAUAGCUUGUGAAAUGACUGAAAUGAAUUGGUCUUCUGUUAAUGCAGGUGAACUUGAUGAAAAAAAAAUGAAUAUUGAGGCCAAGCCUUACCUUGAGAUUUUAGCAGAAUGAAUUGGGACUGCUCUUCGAUAUUUUUCGGUGAAGUGAAGUGAGAUUGAGAGCUGUUUGUUGGCUGGGUUUGAUACUAAUAGUUCAUUGGCA
rnacentral:lncRNA from 1 species